rnacentral:lncRNA from 1 species
CCUCUUGGAGUGCGUGAACUCUUUGUAAAAGCAAUCAUCUGAAAUUGUAGAAAGUACUUGGCAGCAUUGUGUGGAUAAUGAAAUUUUACGCUUGAAAACGGAAGUGAUCAAAUUGAAUGCACAACCGUCCACCUUGAUGCAAGAAGUGGUUGGAGCCGAGGCUGGGCCCCAAGAGGGAGCCAUGUGCGAUGGAGAAACGACAUCAUCAACCGGGGAUGGGGAUAGGGAUGGAACCGCAUUAUCAACUAGAGAUGGAGAUGGAGCCGCAUGAGUAGGUGAAGCCACAUGAGUUGGUGAAGAUGGAGAUGGAGACACAUGAGUUGGUGAAGCCGCAUUAUCAAUUAGAGAUGGAGAUGUAGCCGCAUUAUCAACCGCAUGACUACAAAAGUUUCUCACUUUUCCAAGGAAAAAUGGUACCCUCUUUGAGUGCGUGUACUCUUUGUAAAAGCAAUCAUCUGAAAUUGUUGAAAGUACUUGGCAGCAUUGUGUGGAUAAUGAAAUUCUACGCUUGAAAACGGAAGUGAUCAAAUCUAAUGCACAACCGUCCAACUUAAUGCAAGAAGUGGUUGGAGCCGUGUGUGGUGGCGAAAUCACAUCAUCAGCUGGGGAUGGAACCAACAUCAUCAACCGGGGAUGGGGAUUGGGAUGGAACCACAUGAGUUGGUGAAGCCACAUUAUCAACUGGAGAUGGAGAUGGAGCCGCAUUAUCAACUGGAGAUGGAGCCGCAUGAGUUGGUGAAGCCGCAUCAUCAACUGGAGAUGGAGAUGGAGACACAUGAGUUGGUGAAGCGGCAUUAUCAACGGGAGAUGGAGAUGGAGCCGCAUGAUCAACCGCAUGUCUGCAAUAGUUUCUCACUUUUCCAAGGAAAAAUGGUACCGUAUUUAAGUGCGUGUACUCUCUGUAAAAGCAAUCAUCUGAAAUUGUUGAAAGUCCUUGACAACAUUGAGUGGAUAAUGAAAUUCUACGCUUGAAAACGGAAGUGAUCAAAUCUAAUGCACAACCAUCCACCUUGAUGCAAGAAGUAGUUGGAGCUGUGUGUGGUGGUGAAACCACAUCAUCAACUGGGGAUGGAGCCAUAUGCAUUGGUGAAGCAGCAUUAUCAAUCGGACAUGGAGAUGGAGUUGGUGGUGAUGGUAUUUUUGGGUGAGUACGCCACCACCAUCGAGGCCACAAUCCAAUUGAAGAAGUACCAAACGAUUCUGUUUGGGUUCCGUUGCAGUGGCAGUAGCAAUGCCUAUGCAACCCAACAGCAGAAACAGACAUAACAAUGUGGCACUUCUCAACGACAACGACAUGUUUCAGAAGAAAGAAUGAGUAAUUAAUUAGCUGAGAAUUACAGGCGAUACUUCCAAAUCCUUUAAAAUUGUUUGAAUAAUUAAUUAGGUGCAAAAGGAGUUAAUAUAUAUAGGCAAAGAAUUUAGGCGAUACUUCCCAAUCCCUUUAUACUUCAAAUAUCUAAUUCUAUCCAAAUUUGGAUUUCUGUUUAUGUACAAACGCCAAAUACAAUUUAAGCGAUACUUAAUCCCAAUCCAUUUAUAAUUCAAAUAUCUACUUCUAUCCAAAUUAGGAUUUCUAUAUAUGUCACGUCCAAUUUUAAUAAAAAAUUAUAGUUCAAGAUUGUGUUGCAAUCAAACUAUGACUCCUUCUCCUCAAAAGUUAAGUGAUAUUGAAGCCCCAUAGUUGAAAAUUGGUUUACCAAAUGAAGAUGACUGAGAAUUACAAUAAACUAAGGAACUGAACAUUUCACAUUUUACCUAGCAUUUAUCUUGAAGUACAAAGACUUGCAUAUCAUUAUAAUAAUUAUUUAUGAUAUAAAAUCCAGAAAACAAUUAGAAAAAAAGUGAAAGAUGUUGUUAUCACAGACCAUUUCCCUCCAAAAACAUUGAUCUCUUCGCCACGUAGCUUGGGGAUCUCAGCCAUGUCUAAUAAGAUAUCAUAAAGAUAAGAUCCAUCAGCCGUUUCGCUUUCUCUGUAAGUUUCUAUUUUUGUUUCUUGACCUUACAACAUCAUAAGUCUACGUAAACUUUACCCCUACCUCGACUAUAAGCUCUCUUUCACCCAUAAAUGCUUUGUUUUCCCUUUCCAUGGUUACCGAGUAAUUCAUCAUCACAUAAAUCAGCCUACAAGUCACUAAAAUAUCAACUUCUAUCCAAAUUUGGAUUUCUAUAUAUGUUGUCACGUCCACUUUUAAUAAAUUUAAAAUUCAAGACUUUGUUGCAAUCAAACUAUGAUUCCUUCUAAUCAAAGCUUAGUUGACACUAAAAACAUAUGAGCAAGAAGAAAUUUGGGAGUUCUUAAUUUUAUUCAUGUGUUCUUGAGGAAGAAGAAGCAAGAAGAGUGCAUUUGAUUCAAAACCCCAAUUGAAAAGUACUCUUAAAAGUUGUUUGGGGUCUUGUUGAGAUAAAAAAUGGUUUUGCAAAAUCAAAGUUUUAAAAUAAUGGCAUAGAUAGAUGUUAGUCAAACGGCAAUGCAAUAUAUGAGUCAAACUUUUAACAGAUAGCAUGAAUGAUCAUUUUCUCAAAGUUUGAUGACAUAUUUGAGUCUUUUCCCAUGAUUAUAAUGUCUUAUACGGAUUAUCACACAGAGAAUAUUGUUCAACUUUAGUAUAAAAAAAGGAAGAUAAUUCAUAUAAUCAUAUUCAUAAUAAAUAUAAAAAAAUAAUAGUUAUUGGCAAACUUCAUUAGUUCGCGCAAAAAAAAUUACUAAUUCGCGCAAAAAAAGAUGUAUGGAAUUACGAAUUACUUAUCAUGUCUUAAGACACAUAUUUGAUUCCCGCAAAGACACGUUUUAACCAUUUUGCUUCAAUUAGAGAUGGUUUAUUCAAUACACAAUUCUUCUCUUCACGAUCUAGCGGUAUUCAAAUAUCUAAUUAAACUAAAAAGGUUUACACAAAACAAUAGAUCUAGUUUAGAUUUUUAAGUUUAGAUAAGUUAUCAAAUGGUCAUUUAGAAUUAAGAUAUCAAAUCAUUAUUCGAGUUUCUUAUUGUUUUUUUCUUUCAUUCUUUGGUGUAAAGAAAAUAUUUAAAACUAUUUUUUUUUUGCAGCUAUAUUGUAAUUUAGUUUUUGUAUUUGUAAAAAUAAAAAAAAUGGGGAUAUAUAAUAAAUUUUACAAGAAAAUUAGUGAAAUAAAUAAAUUUGACCAUCAAAAUAAUAAAUUUAAAUAAGUCGUCGAAAUAAAAAAGUCAAAAAAAAAAUAUACCUCAUAUAUGGAUUAUAUUUUUUCAAAAAAAUUAAAUUAAAAAAAAAUUGUUUGGUAGGCGUAGGUCUAAAUAUCAGUCAAUAUUAGGAAAUUGUGCUACUUCACUGCCUGCUUUGCUUCUGCUGCUGCUGCCUAUCUUCACAGAAAAAUCACUUUCUGCUUUGCUCUUCUUCUUCACUUGACAGAAAAACAUCCGCAGCGAUGUUUCCGUUUGUUUCUUUUCGGGAUUGGAUUCAUCAGGCGAUUCACAUAAUUCUUCUCAUGGUAUGAUUUCGUCUUCACUCCAACUUGUACAACAACUGAUUCCGAAAUUCCAAAUGAAAUCAUAACAGACAUACUCUUAAGGCUGCCCCCCAAAUCUCUCUUGAAAUGUAUGUCUGUUUCUAAAUCAUGGCAUCAACUCAUAUCCAGCCCUGAUUUCGUGAAUACACAUCUCAAAUUAAACUCAAUUCAUAGAGUUCUGUUUCCAGGCAUCAAUGGAAAUUUCAACUUUAGUUCUCUCCUCCCUUCCACUGUUCAAAUGGGUUCCAUCGCUUUAAUAUCUUCCGUUGUGGGUACUGCCAAUGGGCUAAUUUGUCUGUACAAUUACAAAGGGGAGAUAUAUAUAUAUAUGGAACCCCACCAUUAGCAAGUCAAAGAAACUACUUAAUUUGCCGUGGGGUUCCUCUUUCUAUAUGAAAUAUGGUUUUGGAUAUGAUGAAUCACGUGAUGAUUACAAAGCUCUGUUUAUUGAUGAUGAAUCCGACCUGAGUUAUGUGGUCAACAUUUAUAGUUUGAGGACGGAUUCUUGGAAAACACUCCAUGACCAGCUUAAGGGCGUCUUUCUAAUAAAUCUUCCGGCUAAAUUUGUCAACGGGAAGCUUUAUUGGACUGCAUCUACGAGUUUUUGUGAUAUCAAUGUGCGCAAGAUCAUUUCGUUUGAUGUAGCAGCCGAGACAUGGGGUAGCUUGGAGCUUCCCAUUUGUGGAGAAGACAAUUCAAAUUUCAAAUUGGGAGCUGUUGGAAGUGACCUUUCUCUGAUUUACACUGCUAAUUUAGUUGCUACUUCUUCAGAUGUCUGGAUUUUGAAGAAUAGCGGCUUACAUGUGUCUUGGACGAAACGGUUCACCAUCGAAUAUCCUCAAAAUGUUGGGAUAUAUAUGGGUUCUCCAACCACUUACCCAUUCUCUACACAUCUUCGCCACUCAACCAAGGGCGACAUUUUACUUUCCCUUCCCGGAGUUAUACUGAUAUUUUGGGGGUUCAACAAGAAAGCUAGAGCACACUGUUGAUGUUGUGGGAUGCGAUCCAGUAGAAUUCUAUGCAGAAAGCAUUGUCAAUCUCUUUUUCUGGUAAGAAUUCUGCUUAGUUUAGCUUGUAUGCUCUUUUUGCACUUUUUUUUCCCGUCAAAUAUAGGACUAUGCAUUGAGUAUGUUUUUUUCUCCUGAUAAUGAGACACAACAUUGAAUUUAUUUGCUUGUAUAGCUCUAGUUCCUGUAAGCAUUUGUCCUUUUUACUUUACUAGUUUCUGGACACGUGCAUUGCACUUUGUCCUCUAUCGUCAAUUAUAAUAAUGUUUGUAUUUUGAAAUAAGUUAAUGUGGUCUACUACACCUUUCACCAAUUUUGUGUGAGUGUCUGUAUAUAGCAUCCUUAAUAAUAGAGGAUGUAUCAAAUAAUAGAGAAAGUAUAAGGUAGUAUUCACAAUUUCAUUGAUAGUUUGGCUUAAAACUAUGUCUCAGUGAUGUACAAAUAAUAUUCGCAACUUAGAGCCUGUUUGAAUUGGUUUAUUUUAGGUGCUUUUAAGCACUUAGGUAGUGUUUGGGUAGGAUUAUGCACUUGUUUUACUCUGCUCGACAAGGAUUAGAUCUCCCAUAGUUUUAGUAAUUUCCUAUCUUGAAGUAUGAAAAGUUCUGUUUUUAUUUUCUUUUUCUGUUCUGGAGGAGUUGUAUUCUUUUCUGUAGACAGUUGGUCUAAUUUGGUAUUAACAGUGUUGAGUUAGAGUUUCAAUAUAGUGUUUCUUACAGUUUCAUCGCUGACAUCCUUUUACAUUGAGAAAUGAUGAUUCACUCGCAUUUAUGUUGUUGAUAUUGCUUAUACUAGGUGACUAUUUUUGUAGUACUACACACUUUUUUUUACGAAAAUUUUAAGAGAUGCAACCUUAACUUGUUUUGGACUAUUGAAUUUCAGGAAGUGGAAACUGAUUCCGUACUUGCUGCUGAGUGCAUGGAUCAAAAUGAUGAAGCCUUGUCAUGAUCUGUUCUCUUCCUCCAUCUUGUCUGCUGCAUUUAGUAUCAGAAUUGUAGUUGUAUCUUGUAUAAUGAGGAUUUACAUAACUUGAUUCCGCCUUGUACACCGAGAAUGUUAGAGGAAACCUUGUGGAUGGUUCCCCUGCUUUUCAGGGUGAAAGAUUAUUAUUAGUCGUUCUAGUAAACUUAGCAAUUAUGAAAAUGCUCCACAUCUAAUUAUUGAUCUACAACUGCUUCUACUACUGUUGAUAUUCAUGAAAGCUGGCUGUUUUCAUGAAGGGAAAACCAACUAUGGAAGAGUUAAGAAAGCUAUUUAUUAGCCAAUUUCAGCUAUUGGGAUCGGUUAAAAUAGCUUAAUUGAUUAUAAAACUCUAUCUGUACAUUGAUUUCUCUGAUGAAUAACAUAUGGUAAUAUCAUUAAAAGCUUCAAUAAGACCUCUUUUUUUGGUCGGACAUAAAGGUGCAACCAGCCUCAUUGUCCAUGUCUCGCUGCUUUCUUAUUCAACUCUAUAGCUAAUAUUGGAUUAUGUCCAGUAAUCUUUGGAUUGUAUUGAGAAUACUCUAUAGCUCUCAAUUUCAGAAUCAUCACUAUUAUACUCCAUAACUAACAUUAUCGAUAGUCUAGGAGUGAUAUAGUAAAUGAUUUGUUAGGAGUCGACAAAUAAAUAUGCACAGAGAGAGUAGUAAUUUAAUGGUAAAAUAGAGAUGAAGAUCCAAUUGAACUAAUAAAAAAUAUAUAAUUGAAAGUAAUUAACUACCACCCCUUUUAACACCUAUUUAGGGGCGGAAUCCUAUAUAAAGCAAACUAAAUGACCUGACUAAAAAAAGAGAAAAAAAAGUUGCAUUAUCCUAUUCUCUUGCUUGAUGAUGACUACAAUAGUUCCUCACUUUGCCUAGGAAAAAUGGUACCCUCUUGGAGUGUGUGAACUCUCUGUAAAAGCAAUCAUCUGAAAUUGUUGAAAGUACUUGACAACAUCGUGUGGAUAAUGAAAUUCUGCGCUUGAAAAUGGAAGUGAUCAAAUUGAAUGCACAACCGUUCACCUUGAUGCAAGAAGUGGUUGGAGCCAUGGCCGGGCCCCAAGAGGGAGCCAUGUGCGAUGGAGAAACGACAUCAUCAACAGGGGAUGGGGAUGGAGAUGGAGAAACGACAUCAUCAACUGGGGAUGGGGAUGGAGCUGCAUGAGUUGGUGAAGCCGAAUUAUCAACCAGAGAUAGAGAUGGAGAUGGAGAUGCAUGAGUUGGUAAAGCCGCAUUAUCAACGGCAUGACUGCAAUAGUUUCUCACUUUGCCUAGGAAAAUUGGUACCCUCUUUGAGUGCGUAUACCCUCUGUAAAAGCAAUCAUCUGAAAUUGUUGAAAGUCCUUGGCAGCAUUGAGUGGAUAGUGAAAUUCUACGCUUGAAAACGGAAGUGAUCAAAUCUAAUGCACAACCAUCCACCUUGAUGCAAGAAGUGGUUGGAGCGGUGUGCGGUGGCGAAACCACAUCAUCAACUGGAGAUUGAGCCAUAUGUGUUGGUGAAGCCACAUUAUAAAUCGGAGAUGGAGAUGGAGUUGGAGUUGGUGGUGAUGGUAAUUUUGGGUGAGUACGCCACCACCAUCGAGGCCACAAUCGAAUUGAAGAAGUACCAAACGAUUCGGUUUGGUUCGUUGCAGUGGCAGUAGCAAUGCCUAUGCAACCCAACAACAGAAACACACAUAAUAAUGUGCCACUUCUCGAUGACGACGACAUGUUUCAAAAGAAAGAAUGAAUAAUUAGCUGAGAUUAGAGGAAAAGAAUUUCAAGCGGUACUUCCAAAUCCUUUAAAGUUGUAUGAAUAAUUAAUAUGAGUUGAUAUAAAUAGGCAAAUAAUUUAGGCGAUACUUCCCAAUCCCUUUAUACUUAGAAUAUCAACUUCUAUCCAAAUUAGGAUUUCUAUAUAUGUUGUCGCGUCCACUUUUAAUAAAUUUAUAAUUCAAAUUAGGAUUUCUAUUAAUAAUAAAUUUAUAAUUCAAAACUGUGUUGCAAUCAAACUACAACUCCUUGUACUCAAUCAACACAAACGCCAAAAACAUACACUUAGGGCACAAACAGAGAUCCUUCUGCUAUGGCAAGUGAUUCCAUAAUCCCUCUUCUUCUUCUUCCUGAUGAACUCAUAACAGAGAUCCUCUUAAAGCUUCCUGUCAAAUCUCUGUCGAAAUUCAUGUGCGUUUCUAAAUCAUGGCUUCAACUAAUCUCUAGCCCUACUUUUGUGAAGAACCAUAUCAAGUUAACUGCUGAUGACAAAGGAUGCAUCCAUCACAGACUUAUAUUUCGAAACAUCGAUGGAAAUUUCAAGUUUUGUUCUCUCCCUCCCUUGUUUACCAAACAACAACACACUGAGGAGCUAUUCCACAUCGAAAGAUCCACUUUAUCAACUCACAUUGUGGGCUCUUUAAAUAGGUUGAUUUGUGUUGUCCAUGGCCAAAAAGAGGCAUAUAUAUGGAACCCCACUAUUACCAAGUCAAAGGAAUUACCCAAGUUUACGAGUAAUAUGUGCUCUGGUUCUAUCUAAUAUGGUUUCGGAUAUGAUGAGUCACGUGAUGAUUAUAAAGUUGUAUUUAUCCAUUAUCCUUAUAAUCAUUCUAGUAGUUCCAAUAUGACGACUGUGGUCAACAUAUAUACUUUGAGGACUGAUUCUUGGACAACACUCCAUGAUCAGCUUCAGGGCAUCUUUCUAGUAAGUCAUUAAGGUAGAUUUGUCAAUGGGAAGCUUUAUUGGACUUCAUCAACUUGUAUUAAUAAGUACAAGGUGUGCAACAUCACUUCUUUUGAUUUAGCAGACGGGACAUGGGGAAGCUUGGAGCUUCCCAUUUGUGGAAAAGACAAUUUUGAUAUCAAUUUGGGUGUUGUGGGAAGUGAUCUUUCUCUGCUUUAUACUUGUCAACGAGGUGCUGCUACCUCUGAUGUAUGGAUUAUGAAGCAUUCUGGAGUUAAUGUAUCUUGGACAAAAUUGUUCACCAUCAAAUAUCCUCAAAAUAUUAAGACACAUAGGUGUUUUGCACCUGUUUUCACAUUCUCUAUACAUUUUCGCCACGGUGAAAUUUUGCUUCUUCUUCGCUCAGCCAUCAUGAUAUAUGAUGGUUCAACAAGACAACUAAAGCACACUUUUCAUGUCAAUCAAUGUGAAGAAAUCUAUGUAGAAAGCCUUGUUAAUCCCCUAACGAUAUCUGACCAGGGACGUCAUAACCAGGAAUCUCCACAAUCAUAACAUAGCUGAUAAUUUGUAAGGAUUGUGCUUAGUUUAGCUUGUUAUGCUCUUUUUGCACCUUUUUUUGCUGCCAAAUAUAGGACAAGACAUUGAAUAUAUUUUUUUCCUGAUAUCAGAACUUAAUUACCGUCUCAUAAAAGACUUCCUUUUCCUAAAUAAGGGUAGGACCGGUGAGAGGCUUCAAUCAUAUUUUCUUGAUUAUAAGUAGAUGGAAAAGAAAAGAACAAUCAAAUUGUUGAGUAAUACAUGCAAUAAUCAGUAUGUCUGAAGUUUCAACAUAGUGCUGGUUAGACGUCAAUUAAGGAGUUUAGCUAAUGAGAGAUGUUUGAUUAAAACAACCUUUUACAUCGAGAAAUGAUGAUUCGCUCACGUCUAUGUUGUUGCUUUUGUUUAAACUAGAUGGCUGUUUUGUUACUAUAUAAACAGAGUCAUUCUGAAAAUUUUGUCAAGCACAACCUUAACUAUUUGGUUUGUACUAUUGAAUUUCAGGAAAUGGAAGCUAAUGUUGAACACUAAUCAAUAGUUGCUGCUGAGUUCAUGGAUCGAAAUGAUGAAGCCUUGUCAUGAUCUGUUUUCUUUCGUAUUAGACUUGUAGUUCUAUCUCGUUAUCAGAUUUACAAUCAUUUGCUAUAAACUAGAAUCCUGAUAACAAUUGUGUUAAAAACUUGGUUUGGUAUAAACCUUUUUUUCGUCUAAUUAGAUAGUUGAAUGUCUCUAGAAUGUGAAGAGAACCCGAUAUUGUUGAGUAUUGAAAUGAAACAGGUCCAAAUGAAGGAAAUGGAUAUAUAGAGGAUUCACAUAAACUUGAUUCCAACUAGUACACAAAGAAUGUUAAAGGAAACCUUGUGGAUUGUUCCCCUGCUUUUCAGGGUGAAAGAGUAUUAUUGUAUUACAGAAAAUAUAAUCAGAUUCAUUUGUAUGUUCAGGAACUGGGAACAAGCUAAUGAAGAUGAGGACGAAAUUUUAUAUCCAUUUUCUCCGUACCUUGUUACUAGUCGAAUAAGGAUGAAAUUUUACUUUUACUUCCCCCCCUUAUCAUGACAUAUAACGGUUCAACCAGACAAGUAGAGGUUGCUGAUCAAUUUGAGGAAUGUGCUGCUGCAGAAAUCUAUGUUGAAAGCCUUGUUGAUCCCCUAUUCAUAUCAUGAAACCUCAACAAUCAUUUAGCCGAUAACUUGUAAGAGUUCUUUAUUUAGUUUCUUCCGUCAGCUAGGUCAGAUUAGAGCAAGAAUUUUUGAGAUUAUAUUCCCCAUAUUUGGGGACAGGGAGCAGAAUCCUCAAGCGAGAAACAUUCAAUAUCUCAGAUUAGAUGAAAAACCAUUGUAUCAAACACUGGAUCUAACGUAAGUACAUCAAUAAUUAGCAUUUUGACUCUAAUAGCAGACACCACAGUUGGAUCAGUAAUUCUGCGUAAACUCAAUCUGGCCGAGUUAAUCGUCUAAUUCUACUUUACCAGAAUGAUGCAGGAAGAUGACUUGCUAUACUAAUAUAUUGGAUUAUGCCGAAAAGGUACUAUAACAAGUAACUGAUAAAAAUUCUCUACUUAAGGUGAAAUAAAAAAGGAUUAUGAAUCUAGACUGAUUUGAGGAGACAAUUCAAAGUAAAUUAUUUCUAGGAUAGAUAGUGUAAGAUUCGAUACAGAGGCAAGAACUGAUGUAAUGCUUGUCCGCCAUCUUUAUAAAGAUCGAUUCAUUGGUAUAGUCUAAGCUGCCAGUCUGCCACAGAUGAAUGCUUGUCCUAAUAAUCAAAUACAACAUUGCAGCCAGAAUAAAUAAAUUUGAUGCUCAGAACCUGUUGGAAUGUAUGCGCCCACCAGUGAUCUCGGGACCAGGUCCCUCGACAGAAUAACAACGCAGAAGUAAAAGUGCGGAAAAUAAAUAGCACAAAGUAAAUCAGGCACAAGAGUUUUACGUGGAAACCUCUUUGCUCAAGGGAGUAAAACCACGACCUGUCUCACAGGACUUUUCAAACUGCUUUUACUAAUCUUCUCAAAGCAAAAGUAAAAACAAGUUUACAACCACACAUAGAGAUUAACCUCCUAAUCUCUAAACUAAGUAAUACAACCUAUUACUUAAUGAGCCUAAGCAGAUACAACACUGCCCACUAUACUAACCCUCAUUGAUUAAUAUAGAAUUUUCUAAACGGAUACCACACCGCCCACUAAACCACCUAACUCUAGAUGAUUUAGAAUUUGACUAAGCAACACAUAGGUUGCCCACUAAACCACCACCCUCUGGACGAUUUAGAAAACCACCUAACUCUAGAUGAUUUAGAAUUUGACUAAGCAACACAUAGGUUGCCCACUAAACCACCACCCUCUAGACGAUUUAGACUUUUAGAAAUCGAAACAAGAUCCGAAUCCUUUAUAGAUUAGGAACAGAUUUACAAUGUAAGCACGGAAGUAUAACUCCUAAGACACACUAUGACGCUUGCAACUCGAUUAGGUCCUUGUUGCACUUGUUGGAGAGUACUUCACCAAGAUGGUCUUUGCUUGUAUACUUGAGAAUUUUCAAGAUGCAAAGACUGACAAAACUCAAACUCAACAAAGACGCUUCAACACUCUAUCAGGUCCCUUUGUUGAGCAUGAGUAUUGUCACGUCUACUUCCCAAUCCCUUUAUACUUCAAAUAUCUACUUCUAUCCAAAUUAGGAUUUCUAUAUAUGUCACGUCCAUUCGUCCAAUUUUAAUAAAAAAUUAUAGUUCAAGACUGUGUUGCAAUCAAACUAUGACUCCUUCACCUCAAUCAAGACAACCGCCAUAAACAAUUUUUUUUUUAAAAUAACAACAAUGAAUAUAUUUAGACAAUUACCCUUCAAAAAUUAAGUGACCUUGAAGCCCUAUAUUUGAAAAUUGGUUUACCAAAUGAAGAUGACUGCGAAUUACAAUAAACUAAGGAACUGAACAUUGAGAGGAAGAAAAAAUAUACUAUAAAAAAUCACAUUUCACCUAGCAUUUGUCUUGAAGUACAAAGACUUCUAUAUCAUUAUAAUAAUUAUUUAUGAUAUAAAAUCCAGAAAACAAUUAGAAAAAAUGUGAAAGAUGUUAUCACAGACCAUUUCCCUCCAAAAACAUUGAUCUCUUCGCCAUGUAGCUUGGGGAUCUCAGCCAUGUCUAAUAGGAUAUCAUAAAGAUAAGAUCCAUCAGCCGUUUCCCUUUCGCUAUAAGUUUCUAUUUUUGUUUCUUGACCUUACAACACCAUAAAUCUAGCAAACCUUACCCCUACCCUACCUCGACUAACAAAAAAUACACACAAAAGCUGCACCAUAAGACUUAUGGCUGAAUCGACAAUCUCUGUUCUUCCUCAUGAAAUCAUCAUAGAGAUCCUCUUAAAGGUUCCCCCAAAGUCUCUGUUGAAGUUCAUGUGUGUUUCAAAAUCAUGGCUUGAACUAAUCUCCAGCACAAAGUUUAUAAAAAACCAUUUGAAAUUAACAGCUAACGACAAAGAAUACAGUCACCACGGGAUUAUUUUUCAAGAAUUCGCAUGCAAUUUUAAGGUAUGUUGUCUCCCUUCCAUGCUUAACAAAGAACGAAACACCGACCUAUUUGACAUUGGUUCUCCCAUGGAUUGUCGGUUCUGUCAAUGGAUUGAUUUGUCUGUAUAGUAAGAUAGAGGAGACAGUUCUAUGGAACCCCGCUAUAAAGAAGUCUAAGAAAUUGCCUACACUUGGAGCUAAAUUGAGGAACGGUUGCUCUUACCAUCUCAAACACGUGAUGAUUACAAAGUGGUAGUUAUUCAAUGUAUUGUGUGAUACUGUAGUCAACAUAUACAGUUUGAAGGCUAAUUCUUGGAGAACAAUUAAUAAGUUUCAGGGAAUUUUUCUAGUAAAUUCUCCGGGUAAAUUUGUCGAUGGAAAGCUUUAUUGGGCUUUAUCAGCUGAUGUUGAUACGUUCAAUAUGUGCAACAUCAUUUCUCUUGAUUUAGCAGACAAGACGUGGAGAAGGUUGGAGAUUCCGAAUAGUUAUGGAAAAGGUAGUUAUCCGUUGGCAUUAGGAGUGGUGGGAAGUCAUCUUUCUGUGCUUUGUCUUAAUUGUCUUGAAGGAACUAAUUCCGAUGUGUGGAUUAGGAAGGAUUGUGGAGUUGAAGUAUCAUGGACAAAAGAUUUUCACUGUCGAUCAUCCUAAAAGACCUUGGGGAGUUUAUAUUCUUUACAUCCAUUUUCUCUAUACCUUGUUAUCAGUCGAAUAUGGAUGAGAUUUUACUUUUACUUCCCCCGUUAUCAUGACAUAUAACGGUUCAACCAGACAAGUAGAGGUUGCUGAUCAAUUUGAGGAAUGUGCUGCUGUAGAAAUCUAUGUAGAAAGCCUUGUUGAUCCCCUAUUGAUAUCAUGAAACCUCACAAUCAUAAUCAUUUGACAAUUAUGUUGAAAACUUGCAAACUCACGUUUGGAGAGACUAGAUAUUUUAUAAAUACAAGCAUUGUGUUUAUGUUGGUAUUGCUAGUGUAUGAAUCAUCAAUUUCUUCAUUUAGACCUGUUUGACUCAAUGUACAAUUAUUCUCUUCACGAUCUAGCGAUAAUGCGAUACUUAAAAUUUAAUUAACAGGUCUAAAACUACCUCCUCUGUUCUGCUCUACUACCAAUUUUUGUGAUUGUUACCUCAUAUGACAAACAUGUUUUUGUUUGUUUCUUUUUAUAGAUUGGAUUGAGAUUGUUCUACUCAAAUUCCUCUCAUGGUAUGAUUUCUUCUUCAUUCCAACUUCUACAACUACUGAUUCCAUAAUCCCAAAUGAAAUCAUAACAGAUAUCCUCUUAAGGCUUCCCCCCUAAGUCUCUCUUGAAAUGUAUGUCCGUUUCAAAAUCAUGGCAUCAACUUAUAUCUAGCCCUGAUUUUGUGAAUACACAUCUCAUAUCAAACACACAUCAUAGAGUUCUAUUCCCAGGCAUCAAUGGGAAUUUCAACUUUAGUUCUCUCCUCCCACAACAAGUCACUGUUCACAUAUAUCCUCUCACUUUAUCAGCUUUCGUUGUGGGCUUUGCCAGUGGGAUAAUUUGUCUUUGAGAUCACCAAGGGGAUAUAUAAAUAUAUAUGGUUUUGGAAAUGAUGACUCACGUGAUGAUUACAAAGCUCUGUUUAAUGAUUAUUGUGCUGAUGAGUUCGACCUUUUUUUCUGACUUGAGUAAUGAGAUCAACAUUUAUAGUUUGAGGACGGAUUCUUGGAAAACACUCCAUGACCAGCUUUAUGGCAUCUUUCUAAUAAAUUUUCAGGGUAAACAUGUCAAUGAGAAGCUUCAUUGGAUUGCAUCAACUAGUUAUUAGUAAUUUCAAUGUGCGCAAGAUCAUUUCUUUUGAUGUAGCAGACGAGGGAUGGGGUAGCUUGAAGCUCCCAUUUGUGGAGAAGUCAGUUCUAAUUUAAAAAUGGGAGAGGUGGGAAGUGAUCUUUCUCUGAUUUAUACUUUUCGUCUAGGUGAUACUACUUUUGAUGUCUGGAUUUUGAAAAAGAUUGUGGAUUUUGGACAAUCCUCAAAAUCCAAACAUUAGAAGUAGUAUCACCUAGACUACAAGUAUUAAACAUAGAAAGGUCACUUUCGACAACUCCAAUUUUGAAAUUAAAAUCGACUUCUCCACAAAAUGGGAAGCUCCAAGCUUCCCCACGUCUCAUUUUCUACAUCAAAAGAAAUGAUGUUGCGCACAUUUUGAUUAUGAAGACUAGUAGAUGCAAUCCAAUAAAUCUUCUCGUCGACAAAUUUGCCAUAAAGAUUUACUAGAUAGAUGCCCUGAAGUUGGUCAUGUAUUGUUGUCAACAAAUCGGUCCUCAAACUCUAAAUGUUGACCACAGUCUUCAUGUUGGAUUCAUCGUCAUGGUAAGAAUUACCACAAUAAUCGAUAGAUAGAGCUUUAUAAUUGUCAUAUGAGUUGUCGUAUCCAAAACCAUAUUUGGUAUAGAAAGAAGUACCCUAAGUGGAUUUAUGUGAUUCGUUUGACUUCCUAAUGAUGGGUUCCAUAUAUAUGUCUCCCCUGAGUGAUUGCACAUGCAAAUCAAGUCAUUGGCAGAACCCACAACGAAAGUUGAUAAUGUUGGAGGAUCCAUGUGAAUAGUAACAUGUUGUUUGUUAAACAGAGGAGGGAAUAAACAAAACUUGAAAUUUCCAUUGGUGCCUGAAAAUAGAACUCUGUGAUGUGUGUUUAAUUUGAGAUGUGUGUUCACAAAAUGAGGGAUAGAGAUUAGUUGAUGUCAUGAUUUUGAAACUAGUGUACAUUUCAAGAGCGACUUGGUGGGCAGCCUUAAGAGAGUAUCUGUAGGAUUUCAUUUGUGAUUAUGGAAUCAAUUGUUGUAGAAAUUGGAGUGAAGAAGAAAUCAUGCCCCGAGAAGAAUUUGAAUAGAAUGGCCUAAAUCCAAUUUCGAAAAGCAACAAAUAAAAUAUCGCGAGUAUUUUUUGUCAAGUGAGGAAGUAGCAGAGCAUGCAGCGAAUUGCCAAAGUAGGAGGCAAUGAAGUAGGGUCAAAAUACAAGGGCAUAAUGAAGAGGAAUGCAACGUCAUCCAUCUAGAGUUAUACCCAAAAAAAAUAGACAGAAAAGGAGGGAAAUGAGAAGGAGAGAAAGGGAGGAAAUAAGGAGAGGGAGCAGAAGAACAAGAAGGGAGGGAGUUGGAGAGUACAAGGUAGAGGGAGAAUGGAGCAAAUAUGGAACUGGAAAAAAAAAAUCAACAGGAUAAGGUAGGGUUAGCACUGAAAAUAAGUUUGGGGCUUUGAAGGAUCAGGAAGAUACAGGGUAAUCGCAGGGAGAGAAACAAAAAAGGGAGGGGAAGUCAAUACAAAAAAAUGGGUAGAGGAAAUGUUUAAGGGAAAAAACAACUUCACAAGGGGGAGUAGGUCAAAGAAUAAGGAGGGGGAAAAAGUAAGAAGAGAGAGAACAUUGCUAGUCCGAGUGAAUUGAAUUCUAUAGAAAAGGACAAGGUAAUGGAGGGGGAAAAUAGCAUUAAGGGGAAAAGGAAUCAGGUUCCAAACAUGGGGACAUAUGGUUAUCGAGUUCCAAACGGUUAUCAGAUCAAUAACAUUCGUGAUUUAGAGGAGAUCACAUACAAAGAGAAACAAAGGAGGAGAGAGAGGGAGGAGGAUGAAUAAAUUAAAGGAAAUGUAGACAAAGCGGCAAGAUAUAGAGGAUUAUUGCCAAGGUAGAUCAGGCUUUAGAAGAGUGGAGCCAAGAGAGGUAACUCAAGUCAACCGUUACUUCCUUUGCAAGUGAAGACAAGAUUAGACAGCGGCAUAAUUUUCAACAACUAUCAAUAGAGUGCAAAAGAAUUUUCAACGCAGAUAAGUCAAACAUUCCAAUACUAAGUAUCAAGGCAAGAAAGAUCAAAUUUCAAAAUCUAUAAACAUGAGCAUGCAUUACUUCAGAAUCAUUUUCAACAACAGACUUCCCAACUAUGAUAUUUACAAAAAGUGAUUCUCCAUUUUAGGGCUUACAUAGUUGUAACCAUUAAGAUACCUUGUUUAGACUACGACAACUUAUACAAAAUUUCUCUAGCAUUAAGUGAUGGUCUUGGGGUCAAAUGGGGAGUUAGAGAUUUAGGGUUGGGUAGGAACUUCACAAUGAAGGAGGUCAGGAGCAUUUGAAUAUCUCCAUUUAUGCUUCAGCUAGAUAAAGGAAAUCAGAGAGGAAGAAACAGGGAAAAGAGGUACAGAAAAAAGAAGGCCACUUACAGAGAGUUACGAGCUCAACCACAAGACAAGGCGCCUCCAUCGAAACCACUUCUUGGAUCCAUUGUUCCACUGGAUUAUACCUCUACAGGAGAAACGGUGGAAGUUAGAAAAGAAAUCGAGAAGGGAAAGAGCAAGCUAAGAAAAUCUUACCUUUGCGAGCUGAGAAACAGGGCUAACAUGGCAAACAAGAGCAAUGUGUUGAUGAUCUACGACAAAAGGAAGAGGAAGGUUGAAUUUCAUAUAGCUCGUGGCGGCGAUACGGAGAGAAAGAAAAAGAGCUCAAAUUUGAAAACGCUAUCUUCUAGGGUUUUGAUAUUGAAGCUGGUAGUUCCAUUUAAUGGACUGGGCCAAAAAAAUUCUCGUUGUUUUGGGCUGAUCCAAUUUUUUGAUUGGCCUUGUUUUGUACAGAUUUAUUUGAAAAAUGAAUAAAAGAAGAUACAAAGUCCAAUAAUUAAUUAAAAAAUAAAAUAAAUCUUUAAUAAUAUACACCUUUCAAAAGCAUUUGUUUGAAUUAAUAAUUGAUCAAAAAUGUAAAAGGAUGAAUUUUCAUCGAAGAGAUCCGAAUUUUGAAAUAAGUUGAUGUGGUCUACUACACCUUUCACCAAUUUUGUAUGAGUGUGUGUAUAUAGCAAAACCACCAAAUUUAUGCUUUUUUAAGAGUUAAUGACAUACUAAACACGGAAUAAAGCAUUUCACAAACGACGAAUACAUUGGUAUGGCUUCUUUAAAGAAGAGGGAAACAUACUUACCCAAAAAAGUAUUUUCCGACUUCAAACAUAUGAGGAUGAGAACAACAUAAUGUCCAUCAACAUAUACCCGCCCAUUGUUCUAGCCUCCGUAAGCUAGUUCAGAGAAUUCGUAGUCUUUUCUCUUCCUUUCUUCCCAAUUUUGUACCCCUUGGUUUCCUAUUGCAUUCAUGUUAGUUUUUGGUUAUAGAUGAUCAUGAUCUUGUAUUGAGUAUUUAAUUGAUACAACUUCUCAAUAUCUUCAGAUUUUUUAUGGCUAAGAAGAUAAUGUUGGUUAAUGAGAAAAUAACGGUGGACACAUUUUUGGUGAAUUGAGUGUAAAACAUUAAAGUACUAUGGUUGAGCUUCUAAUUCACCCUUUAUGUAAUUAAAAUAUUACUACUUAAUUAGCUUUUGAUUUGUUGUCGGGCAAAAUGGUAAACUAACUAUUAGAAUAUUGACCCCCGGUUUGCCUAAGGAACAAGAUAUUCUAUAUGUUCCUUUGUCGAGUACUAACACUGUGUUAAGUAAAACAAGUAAACUAAUGACACAAUUAUUUAUCGUGGAAAACUCCGGCUCAUAAAGAGUAAAAAAUCACGGCCUACACCUCUAUAGGAUUUAACUCAACUUCACUAAACUCUGAGUCUCAACCAAACAUUACAAACCUAUGUAAUCUAAGGAAUUAUCAACACCAGUUCCUAAAUGUCAACAAUCAACGAGAUUGUCGAACCUACUUCAAGUUAUGAAUUCAAAUUAUAAUUCUUGCAAUCCUAUGAACUAACUCUAAUUCCUAAACUCCAACACAAACCUCUUAAGGUUUAUGUUCCCAGGUCUUCCCAACUUGCAGACUAUGUUCCUACUUCAAUUUACACCUCACUGGAUUUAGAAAUCAUUAAAGAUACAACUCGAUAAAACGCAAUACAAGCAAAGUUGACUUAAGAACUAUAAAGUAUAAGCCUAUGGAACAGAUUCUUCAAUCUUUUUUUCUUGUGUUGGCUGAACUUGGAUCUUAGGGUCAGAACGCUCUCAUAAAUUAACUCCCUCUAUUUGAUUGUGUUCUACUUGUAAAUCUUUGUAUACUUGCGCUAGUCAAUUAGAAACCCUUGUUUUAUAUUUAUAGAUGUGAAACUUCUCCUUCUUCAAGAAGAUGUCCUUCCUUCUAAGGAUUCCUACUUUAUAGAUAGGAGCUUCCUACUUUUAGCAUAGCAUGAUCAUAGUUCAUGAAGAAAAAAGUUAUUAUUGGAAGAGAGACCGUCAAUUCAAAGGGGAUAAAGCAAAGGGACCCUGUUUUUUUUUCUCCUUUUUCUAAUUGGAAUAUAAUAGAGACUGUCAAUAGACUCGUAGAAGAUAGUGAAACGAAAAGUGGAGUUGAGAUUGGCCUUGGAAGAAUAGGAAAUAUGGUCACAUCCUAUCUAUUAUUCACUAAUGGUACUAACAUAGGUCAAAUUAAUGAAAUGUUAUGGAAAUUUAUGGGGUGAGAACUGAGGUGAAUGUAUCCAUAAUAAAAAAAAAUGACAUUUGUUAUGGCUUGAAAUAUGUAUCUUUGUAUAUAUUGUUUUGUGUUGUUUCUGUUCAAAGUAGAAUAUUAGUCUGAGAUGAAUGCAUCCACAUGAAUAAAAAUGGAGAGAAAUAAAACGAGUGUUUAAAGUUAGAUUACAAUUUUUCUCUUAUAUUUAAUUAAAAUAAAAUACCUAAUCUAAUUGAAAUAGUAGUAAUAAUUGUAUUUGAAUUUACAUGAGAUUUGUGAAUCUGCGGAUAUUCAAAAGUCCAAUUUAAAUGUAGCCCUUAAUGAUUUACCCGUUAAUCAUAUUUAAGUGUGCGCUAUUCAUUGCUAAAUAGUUUGGAGAAUAGGAAGAGUUGCAUUGAAUAAUUAAAUGUAGACUAAUGAAAGAAAAGGUUCAAGGAAUGAAAAUUGAAAUAUAGCUAUAAAAAAACAAGAAAGGAUUCUUGAAUUCUUACUCAUCAUUUUUAUAGGCUCUUGCAUAAUUUUAAUUUAUUAAUUAAUUUCAUCUUCUUUUUUGUUCUUGAAGAGAAAGCAACAAUAUUCUUACUCACCAUUUUUAUAGGCUCUUAUAUAGUUUUAAUUUAUUAAUUAAUGUCAUCUUCUUUUUUGUUCUUGAAGAAAAAGCAACAAUUUGAGAGGAUGGGAAGUGCUUAGAGCUAUUGGCGUCUAGAGUUCGAUUAGCCAAUAACAUCAACUUCACAAAACAAAGUUCAACACAAAUUUAUCGUAAUGCACAAUUUUUAUGUAUCAUUGUAAUGAAAGUUUAGACACAUAUAUUAUUGUUUCGAUAUGUAAUAUUUUAAUUUUAGCAUUCAAAUAUUCUUGUUAUACUUUUAGCAGUUGUUUCUACUUUAUAUGUAAAGAGAGAAUUGAUGUGUGUUUUCAUUUCUUUAUUUUAGUAAGAUUAAGCUUUGCAUUUUUUAAAACCAAUACAUUUAACUAUAAUAAACUCCCUCCAUCUCAAUGAAAAAGUUUGAACAAAUUAACUUGAAAUACACGUGCAAAGCACGUGUCCAUAUACUAGUAUCUUUAAAAGCUUCAAUAAGACCUUUUUUUUUUCUUGGUCGGACAUAGCCUCAUCAUCAAGAAUAUCCAAAUCGUCAGCCAAAUAAAUCAAGAACCAAGUCCAUGUCUCGCUGCUUUCUUACUUGACGCUAGAGCUAAUAUUUGGAUUGAAUUAAGGAUACUUAUAGCUCUCAAUAUCACAACACUCAAAAUCUGCCUCUACAACUGCCAUAUUUCUCUUUACUUCAACACUAAGAAGCUCUGUUUCACCCAUAAAUACUCUGUUUUCCCUUACCAUUACUCGUCAUCACAUAAAUUAGCCUCCUAGUAACUAAAAUCAAAUACAAAUAUUGUUGCCAGAAUAAAUAAAUUUAAUGCUCAGAACCCUACAAAACUAUUCAGAAAGUAAUGCAUCAAAUCAGAAGUUUUAGAAAUUCGAUUUUCAGUUAUAUUUUGUAAAAAAAAAAAAACAGUCGAGCUGAUAAAAGUCUUUAUCUAGGUAGUGUAAAAAUGUCAUAGUAAGUCUUCCUAUUAAUUAAUUUGUUGGGAUGUUGGGGCGAAUAGAAAGAAAUAGUUGCAGAAAUUCAUAUAACUACUCAACUUUAUUCGGACCAAGGUAUAGUUGAUUGAUAUGCAUACCAUAUUGCGAAUAAGUAAAAGGUUGUGUUCCAUAAUUAACAUUAUCAACAGUCUAGGAGUAAUAGUAAAGGAGUGUGCCAAGUCAAACAUGGACAAAUAAAGGUAAACUGUAAAAUUAAUAGAGAUGAAAAUCCAAUUAAACUAAUUAAAGAAUUUAAUCGAAAGUAUUUAACUAGCACCUAAAAACCUAUUAAGAUGACCAAAAAAAAAAAGAGAAGGAAAAAAUCUGCUUCAGGCUUGAUGCUGACUGCAAUAGUUCCUCACUUUGCGUAGGAAAAAUGGUACCCUCGUGGAGUGCGUGAACUCUUUGUAAAAGCAAUCAUCUGAAAUUGCAGAAAGUACUUGGCAGAAUUGUGUGGAUAAUGUAACUUUACGCUUGAAAACGGAGGUGAUCAAAUUGAAUGCACAACCGUUCACCUUGAUGCAAGAAGUGGUUGGAGCCGGGGCUGGGCCCCAAGAGGGAGCUAUAUGUGAUGGAGAAACGACAUCAUCAACGGGGGAUGGGG